UUUGGUUAAGUUAGAAAGGGCGCACGGUGGAUGCCUUGACACUAGGAGUCGAUGAAGGACGGGACUAACGCCGAUAUGCUUCGGGGAGCUGUAAGUAAGCUUUGAUCCGAAGAUUUCCGAAUGGGGAAACCCACCAUACGUAAUGGUAUGGUAUCCUUAUCUGAAUACAUAGGGUAAGGAAGACAGACCCAGGGAACUGAAACAUCUAAGUACCUGGAGGAAGAGAAAGCAAAUGCGAUUUCCUGAGUAGCGGCGAGCGAAACGGAACAUAGCCCAAACCAAGAGGCUUGCCUCUUGGGGUUGUAGGACAUUCUAUACGGAGUUACAAAGGAACGAGGUAGACGAAGCGACCUGGAAAGGUCCGUCGUAGAGGGUAACAACCCCGUAGUCGAAACUUCGUUCUCUCUUGAAUGUAUCCUGAGUACGGCGGAACACGUGAAAUUCCGUCGGAAUCUGGGAGGACCAUCUCCCAAGGCUAAAUACUCCCUAGUGAUCGAUAGUGAACCAGUACCGUGAGGGAAAGGUGAAAAGCACCCCGGAAGGGGAGUGAAAGAGAUCCUGAAACCGUGUGCCUACAAAUAGUCAGAGCCCGUUAACGGGUGAUGGCGUGCCUUUUGUAGAAUGAACCGGCGAGUUACGAUCCCGUGCGAGGUUAAGCUGAAGAGGCGGAGCCGCAGCGAAAGCGAGUCUGAAUAGGGCGUUUAGUACGUGGUCGUAGACCCGAAACCAGGUGAUCUACCCAUGUCCAGGGUGAAGUUCAGGUAACACUGAAUGGAGGCCCGAACCCACGCACGUUGAAAAGUGCGGGGAUGAGGUGUGGGUAGCGGAGAAAUUCCAAUCGAACCUGGAGAUAGCUGGUUCUCCCCGAAAUAGCUUUAGGGCUAGCCUUAAGUGUAAGAGUCUUGGAGGUAGAGCACUGAUUGGACUAGGGGUCCUCAUCGGAUUACCGAAUUCAGUCAAACUCCGAAUGCCAAUGACUUAUCCUUAGGAGUCAGACUGCGAGUGAUAAGAUCCGUAGUCAAAAGGGAAACAGCCCAGACCGCCAGCUAAGGUCCCAAAGUGUGUAUUAAGUGGAAAAGGAUGUGGAGUUGCUUAGACAACUAGGAUGUUGGCUUAGAAGCAGCCACCAUUUAAAGAGUGCGUAAUAGCUCACUAGUCGAGUGACUCUGCGCCGAAAAUGUACCGGGGCUAAAUACACCACCGAAGCUGCGGAUUGAUACCAAUGGUAUCAGUGGUAGGGGAGCGUUCUAAGGACAGUGAAGUCAGACCGGAAGGACUGGUGGAGUGCUUAGAAGUGAGAAUGCCGGUAUGAGUAGCGAAAGACGGGUGAGAAUCCCGUCCACCGAAUGCCUAAGGUUUCCUGAGGAAGGCUCGUCCGCUCAGGGUUAGUCAGGACCUAAGCCGAGGCCGACAGGCGUAGGCGAUGGACAACAGGUUGAUAUUCCUGUACCACCUCUUUAUCGUUUGAGCAAUGGAGGGACGCAGAAGGAUAGAAGAAGCGUGCGAUUGGUUGUGCACGUCCAAGCAGUUAGGCUGAUAAGUAGGCAAAUCCGCUUAUCGUGAAGGCUGAGCUGUGAUGGGGAAGCUCCUUAUGGAGCGAAGUCUUUGAUUCCCCGCUGCCAAGAAAAGCUUCUAGCGAGAUAAAAGGUGCCUGUACCGCAAACCGACACAGGUAGGCGAGGAGAGAAUCCUAAGGUGUGCGAGAGAACUCUGGUUAAGGAACUCGGCAAAAUGACCCCGUAACUUCGGGAGAAGGGGUGCUUUCUUAACGGAAAGCCGCAGUGAAUAGGCCCAAGCGACUGUUUAGCAAAAACACAGCUCUCUGCGAAGCCGUAAGGCGAAGUAUAGGGGGUGACACCUGCCCGGUGCUGGAAGGUUAAGGAGAGGGGUUAGCGUAAGCGAAGCUCUGAACUGAAGCCCCAGUAAACGGCGGCCGUAACUAUAACGGUCCUAAGGUAGCGAAAUUCCUUGUCGGGUAAGUUCCGACCCGCACGAAAGGUGUAACGAUUUGGGUACUGUCUCAACCAGAGACUCGGUGAAAUUAUAGUACCUGUGAAGAUGCAGGUUACCCGCGACAGGACGGAAAGACCCCGUGGAGCUUUACUGUAGCCUGAUAUUGAAUUUUGGUACAGUUUGUACAGGAUAGGCGGGAGCCUUUGAAACCGGAGCGCUAGCUUCGGUGGAGGCGCUGGUGGGAUACCGCCCUGACUGUAUUGAAAUUCUAACCUACGGGUCUUAUCGACCCGGGAGACAGUGUCAGGUGGGCAGUUUGACUGGGGCGGUCGCCUCCUAAAGUGUAACGGAGGCGCCCAAAGGUUCCCUCAGAAUGGUUGGAAAUCAUUCGUAGAGUGCAAAGGCAUAAGGGAGCUUGACUGCGAGACCUACAAGUCGAGCAGGGACGAAAGUCGGGCUUAGUGAUCCGGUGGUUCCGCAUGGAAGGGCCAUCGCUCAACGGAUAAAAGCUACCCCGGGGAUAACAGGCUUAUCUCCCCAAGAGUCCACAUCGACGGGGAGGUUUGGCACCUCGAUGUCGGCUCAUCGCAUCCUGGGGCUGUAGUCGGUCCCAAGGGUUGGGCUGUUCGCCCAUUAAAGCGGUACGCGAGCUGGGUUCAGAACGUCGUGAGACAGUUCGGUCCCUAUCCGUCGUGGGCGUAGGAAAUUUGAGAGGAGCUGUCCUUAGUACGAGAGGACCGGGAUGGACGCACCGCUGGUGUACCAGUUGUUCUGCCAAGGGCAUAGCUGGGUAGCUAUGUGCGGAAGGGAUAAGUGCUGAAAGCAUCUAAGCAUGAAGCCCCCCUCAAGAUGAGAUUUCCCAUAGCGUAAGCUAGUAAGAUCCCUGAAAGAUGAUCAGGUUGAUAGGUUCGAGGUGGAAGCAUGGUGACAUGUGGAGCUGACGAAUACUAAUAGAUCGAGGACUUAACCAUAUAA
rnacentral:rRNA from 1 species